CAGUGUUGCUCCAGUGACCUGAGCUAGCCUUCACAGCCCAGGUGGCUUCAGGAGACCCUUGUAUGUAUUCAGGAGACGCUUUGCAUCACUGUCAAUGCCUGUGAGCAUGGAUGCUGCACAAUCCCUGCGUGUGUCAGUCCCUCACCCACUGAGGAUGCUGAAAAAGCUGCGAGUGUUGGAAUCCACGCUGAUCUGAAGGUGGCCUGCUCAGCUCCACACAAGGAUGAAGGCAGAGAUGUGUUGCUAAACAGAGACUAUUUUGCAACAGAACAGGACAAGUCUUCCAACAAAAUGGGAUGCACAUUGGAAGUCCUGUUUCAGCUGCAAGGACACCAGGCUGAGCCUCCUGUGACCCCUGUGCAACUGAGGCAACCGGGACCUUUGCAUCCAGAGAGCAACCUGGAUCCAAAACCACCCUGAAUGGGGACAGACCCAUUAGUCACCAAGUCUGACCUGAGCCAAGACUGCAAGCUUUGUCUGUGCUGGAGCAGGUAUUUUAGAAGGUCUAAGUGGGAAAGACCAUUCCUCAGGUAAACAGUUUUAAUGCUGGAAUAUUAGAUAUGGCUGUAAGUCAGGUUCUCUCAUGCUGUGGGAAAUUCCAGCAUUUUAAAGUAUUUGUCUCCAUGGAGAAUUAAUGCUGGUUUUGCAACUGAUUUUUUUUUUAACUAGUCUUACAGAUCAUCAGGAACAGCUGACAGCAAACAAUAUAUACUGCAGUAUACAGACACUGUGAUUGACAGUGGAGAUAGUGAUUCCUAGUUUGUAUUUUAAAAUCAUUACGGUCAUUUAAAUUUCAUGGCACAUGAAAUAUUUCACACUUUUGGCAGCAUGAAGAUUCUCUGCUGUGUUAUAACAAAAGGAUUUUCCAUUAAUUUAGUACUCAGUACUAUGUAGCAAAUGUACUUAACAGUUUGAAAAUUAAAAUUAAAAUAGAUUUAAACGAUUUUUCAUGCUAUAAUGUGAUAGUAGUAGAAUAAUAUAAAAUGAAAAUGCAUAAAUUAAGAUCAGAAAAUACAUUUCAGAACAAUUUUGUAAAACAAACUGUUUCAAAAUAUACUGCUCUAAGGAUUUCUGUAAGCGAAUAUAUAUUUUUCUGUCAAAAGCCCAAACACUUCCAUCCAAAGAAGUUUUUUUUCAACAAGAAGCUGUUUUAAAAAUGUCUUGUCUACUCUACUAAUUACCCUCACUGUGACAAAAUCAGGCCUUAUAUUAAUACUUAUAUUUAAUUAAAUUAAUUAUGAAUUAGUUAGCUUUACCUUCUAGUGCUAAAUCCUGUUAUGCCUUUGUUAAUAAAUUAAAGAACCUUCCAUCCUCUGAAAGUGUCUCUCCUAACUCAUAGGUUGUUUAUGAAGUUCUCAUCUGAAUAAUUUCCAGUUCUUUGGUGUUUUUUAUUGAAAAUGUAGACACCAGAAGUGGACACAGUUUGAGUCUGUUAUGAUCUUGAGAUGCCAAGACAACCCUCAUUCUGCUAGGAGUUGGAAAAGAGUGGCAAUAAACCUCUGGAGCUGCCCCAUCCAGCAGUGCCCAGAGAGAGGAAGUGAACCAGAUGUGAUGGGACUCUGACAUGCAGCACCCACUCUGGACUGGCCCAAAGGGUUACAUUCUUCUCCUCUGAUUUCCAGGCAACUGGAAGUUACUGAUAUAUUCAGCUAACAGAAAGCCUUGAUAUCCAUCCCUUAACUGCUCAGCAGCCCCAUGCAGAAAAGGUUUUGUUUAACCCCUUGUCAUAAGCAGAGCAGAGCCAGCCAACACCUCAAGCUGAAGGUGCCAGAGGAGAGGUAUCCUGAGUGGCUCUGACCUUGCUACAGGAAAGUGCAGGACAGAGGAACUGCCUGUGGUGCAGCAUGGCUGAGUCCUAGCAGCUGGGUGUUCCACGUGGCAUGAAUGGAGGUGCUCAGCCACAGAGAAAAUACAAGAAAUAUGGAUGCAUCUGUGUCAGGAGAGAAAGAGAGGUAUAAUGGGAAAAAAAAGGAAAAUGUCAGAAGUGCUAAGCAAAGUGAAAUCCGAGCUCUGUUAAAUGUCAGUGACCAAGGUCCUGCUGUCUUCAGCAGGAUGAAGAUUUUACCCAGGGGUUAAGAGGUGCAGCUCAAAACUACCAGGAUGAUUCAGAGAGGUCUGCUCAGGGCUGCAGUAACUCAGCCAGCAGCUGCCAGCUGGGAGCAUUUGGCCAUGGGCAUGACAGGUGCCAUAAUCUCCUGUCAUCAUGUACUUUGUAUCUUUGAUUAUUUAGAGAUCGAUAGACUGACAUGUAAAGAAAAAUAUAUGUUCAAUAGGACACUUGACAUCAGAAGCUUCUUAUAUGGGAAGGCUUUUCUAUAGAGAGAACAUCCCUAUCAGAUACUAUGAGCUCCAUGGAAUUCAAGAUUUUAGGGCCUGAAGGGAACAUUACAACCUUCUAGCCUGAACUUUGAGAUAAAAUAGACUACAAAACCAAAUAAUUUCUGCAUCAGGCCAAUAUCUUAUGGAUGAGUUAUAGAUCAUCUCUAACAAACUUCCAGCCUUGGUUUGAAGACUUUAUGUGAUCGACAGAAUUUAAAGCAUCUGUAGGUAGAUAGCUCUGGUCAGUCUUCGUGUCUCAGCCAUUCUGAUUAAUACAGCAAGUGUCUCUUCUUGUAAUAUUAGCAUUAUCAUGUCUUAUAUCCAUCUACAGUGCAACAUAUGGUGGAAGGAUAAUGUAAAAAUGUCCAGUGAUUGUGACUUCAGUGGAUCACCAGUGCUCCCCAAAGUUUAAGAACAUAGCUAAAAUAAAAACAUAUUAGGAAAGAC